rnacentral:rRNA from 1 species
GUGUCAGCCGCCGCGGUAAUACGUAGGGGGCGAGCGUUAUCCGGAUUUAUUGGGCGUAAAGCGUGUGUAGGCGGUUUAUUAAGUUUAAGAUUAAAGCCCGAGGCUUAACCUCGGUUCGUCUUAAAAACUGAUAGACUUGAGUAUGGUAGAGGCAAAUGGAAUUUCUAGUGUAGCGGUUAAAUGCGUAGAUAUUAGAAGGAACAUCAGUGGCGAAGGCGAUUUGCUGGGCCAUUACUGACGCUGAGACACGAAAGCGUGGGGAGCAAAUAGGAUUAGAUACCCUAGUAGUCCACGCCGUAAACGAUGAGUACUAAGUGUCGGGAAACCGGUGCUGAAGCUAACGCAUUAAGUACUCCGCCUGAGUAGUACGGUCGCAAGACUGAA